GAUGAACGCUAGCGGCAGGCUUAACACAUGCAAGUCGAGGGGUAGAGGUUGCUUGCAACCUUGAGACCGGCGCACGGGUGCGUAACGCGUAUGCAACCUACCUUUUACAGAGGGAUAGCCCAGAGAGAUUUGGAUUAAUAACUUAUAGUAUAUAACCUUCGCCUUUUGGUUAUAUUAAAGUUCCAACGGUAAAAGAUGGGCAUGCGUCCUAUUAGCUAGAUGGUAAGGUAACGGAUUACCAUGGCUACGAUAGGUAGGGGUCCUGAGAGGGAGGUCCCCCACACUGGUACUGAGACACGGACCAGACUCCUACGGGAGGCAGCAGUGAGGAAUAUUGGACAAUGGGCGCAAGCCUGAUCCAGCCAUGCCGCGUGCAGGAAGACGGUCCUAUGGAUUGUAAACUGCUUUUGUACGGGAAGAAACACUCCUACGUGUAGGAGCUUGACGGUACCGUAAGAAUAAGGAUCGGCUAACUCCGUGCCAGCCGCCGCGGUAACAC
rnacentral:rRNA from 1 species